rnacentral:rRNA from 1 species
AGCGAACGCUGGCGGCAGGCCUAACACAUGCAAGUCGAACGGACCCUUCGGGGUUAGUGGCGGACGGGUGAGUAACACGUGGGAACGUGCCUUUAGGUUCGGAAUAGCUCCUGGAAACGGGUGGUAAUGCCGAAUGUGCCCUUCGGGGGAAAGAUUUAUCGCCUUUAGAGCGGCCCGCGUCUGAUUAGCUAGUUGGUGAGGUAACGGCUCACCAAGGCGACGAUCAGUAGCUUGUCUGAGAGGAUGACCAGCCACACUGGGACUGAGACACGGCCCAGACUCCUACGGGAGGCAGCAGUGGGGAAUCUUGCGCAAUGGGCGAAAGCCUGACGCAGCCAUGCCGCGUGAAUGAUGAAGGUCUUAGGAUUGUAAAAUUCUUUCACCGGGGACGAUAAUGACGGUACCCGGAGAAGAAGCCCCGGCUAACUUCGUG